rnacentral:lncRNA from 1 species
GCCCCGGCGCGUCCUAGGUCCCCCAGGUCUCUCCGGGCCUCCGGCUCCGUAUAGCCGCGCAUCCUAGCCCGAAGCUGAUGCUGCCCGGUCGGCUCCGGCCUUCCCGGCUGCCUGACCCGCCGGGCCCCAAGCCCCGGGCUCCGGCCUGGGCCCAGCGGCCUGGAGCGCGGCCUUGGCCCGUCUGCCCGCCGCCUCGCCGCCACGACUUCGCCCGUCUGUGCCCCACCGGCCGCACCUUUGAAUAGGUAGUCGUACUCGUCGUCCCGGGUCCCCAUUGUCCUGGCGCUUCCGGCGGGAUCGGCGACUCCGCAGCCCCACCACAAACACCCGACGGGGGCGGAGCCGGCGCCGCGCAGAGCGGCGGUUGAAUGGCCUAUCAGCGGCGAGUGGAGUAGCGACGGGCACCCAGCGAAGCCAAUCAGAGAUGGAAGUAGUGCUCUGAGGGUGGGCGCCGCUUGGUACCACCCUCCUCGCCCUCGGUGUCCUGGAGAAAGGCGGAAGGAAUGCGGACCUUUUUGAAGUGACGGACGCGCCAGCCUAUCAGGGGCGAGCUCAAGAGGGCGGGGCGGAAGACUGCAGGAAUGAAAUGGAUUGACAGACCAAAUAACUAAUGAGAGGCUUGAUUGAGAACCUACCCGACUAUCAGAGGACCUGUCCGGGAAGAGAAAUGGGGCUACGUCCAGACAGAAUCUCGCUCUGUUGCCUGGGCUGGAGUGCAGUGGCACUGUAUCCGGAAUUGGGGGGUUCUUGGUCUCACUGACUUCAAGAAUGAAGCCAUGGACCCUUGCGAGAUGGGGGUUCCACCAUGUUGGCCCGGCUGGUCUCGAACUGCUGACCUCAAGUGACCUGCCUGUCUCGGCCUCACAAAUGGCUGGGAUUACAGGCACGAGACACCGUGCCUGGCCCUGGGAACAUGUUUACAUGGACUUUGUUCACUUUUUAAAACAAACUGAGGGUAACUUACUAGAUCUGUGAACUAAAGAAAGAGAAAAAAAAGAAAGAAAACAAACAAGAACAAAGAAAAAAAAAAAAAA